GGCAAAAGGCCGAUUUCCGGCGCCGUGUGAGGGUCUCAAAAAAGCGCUCCCAGAGGAAGGCCUCGCUAGGGAAGCCGAGAGGAGGCCAACAGCAAGAUCUGGCAGUCGUGUUUAGGAUGGACGGGGAGAAAGGGGUAAGAGAAGAGGGUCUCGGUGCUCACGGGUCAUGGCGACGGCAGCGGCUCCGGCCUGCCUCCGUUGCGUCCCCUCGUUCUGUCCGACGUUGCAGGCCCCGCCCCCUUCUCCGAGCGUAACGAAGUCGUCCUUUCCUCCCCGCCCUAUGGAGCCCGGGCUCAGUCUCCCAUUGGGCAGAAAGAAACACGUGGGGCUGCGGGCCACACUCCAGCCCGGGCGGAUGUGGGGCGGAGGUUCGCAGGCCAGUGCGCUGCGUGGGGCGGGGCUUCCUGGGCUAGGCGUUGGGUCGGGCGGGGAGAAAGUAGGCCGGGUCACGUGGACAGGGUGGGGGUGCAGGGGUGCGGCUGGCGAUGUGGCGUUCCCGCGGGCUCGAGCACGUGACCCGGCAGAGUGACCUCAUGCGGGGACCGUUUGGGACACCGACGGACUCGCCCAAGGGGAACGUUGGUGCUUAUAGCGGAACAGAGUUGAGGCUGGAACUUCAAACUAGCUUCCCCCUCAACAUGAACCUGAUGGGAAGGCAGUACAUCUCCGUCAAUGCCAUCCUCACAAUUUUUGCCAUACCAAAGUAUCACUUGAACUAUUAUUACUUAAAAUGUUUGUACCAAACUUCAAUAAAGCUUAUAAGUCAAA